CUGAUCCUCACACAAGAACGAAAUCAUAAGAAGGCGGGAUCAUAGUGACUAAAUUGCAUGUUGUCCUGAGAAACAGCGAAAGGACAUAAGGUAAACUCCAAGGAAAUCUGAGUAAAGGAUGGACUUAAGUGAGACUUCUGACAACCUUGAUUUUGUGAAGAAUAAAACUGCACUAAAGACUCCAGCAUGAGCUACAAAAGCUCUCUGGACUGAUUCUGAUCCCUAAUUUGGAGUAAAAAUUGGAAGUACCUGUGUUUAUGUCCAGAUAUAAUGAAUAUGCUAUAAGAACAUGUUUUUAUUGAAUCACAUACACAUCUUCUUGGGUGUUGAAAGUAUCCAAACCACACAAAUCAGUCUAGCAAAUCAUGACAAAUCCAGGAACACCUUUCAACUCACAGGUCUAGCAUACCGACAUUUCAAUCAGAUGCUAUUCAGACUACUUCAAAGCAUGAUGAAAUAUAAUCACUUGGGUAUGAAGAAAAGUUUGAGCUUCCACCACAAGAUCUAGAUUUCCCUAGAGUGAGAGAAAGGGAUAUUCUUUCCUGCCCUGAGUUACCCAAAGAGUCUAAGUGGAAGACACGACAGAUCUUCACAAAUGGCUCUGGACAGACAGAAUGGUCUUGGUGCCACUUUCCUCAUGAAUGGCAAUGUCUGAGGAAGAUGGUCCCUGAUGCCCAGGAUUAUUUCAUCAACUCCCUUGCAGCAGAUGAAAACAAAGGAAAGAAUUAAGUCCAAUAAUCCACAAACUGAAUAUGAGCCCAGGAGCUAGACUUCAGGAAAUAAAGCAAAGUGGAAAUCUCAAGUGGAAGAUGUUUCCCAGAAAAAUUAUAAAAUUCUUAGAAUUGCAACUUCUGCAUCCUGUUUGAGCAAGACAUUAAUUCAAGCCAAUCUGAAAGCUUCCACCAUUGCUUGGUUUCAAUUUCAGCUCCAUUAUUGUAUAAAAUUUCAUAUUUACAACAUUCUCACUCUAUGUUAAGAAUAACAACUCAGUCACUAAGGUUUGUGGGACCUUCAAAAUUCCAAGUAUGACAAACAGUCAUGAAAAUGACAUGCAAUGAAGCCAAACAUGUUAAAAUUUAUUUUCUGCAGUAGUAACAUGUCAUCUAACUGAAGGUGGGAACUUUUCUACUUACAGAGGUCAUUUCAGGUUCCCAAAUGCUUUGGAAGGAUAAUGAAGACAAACUUUCAACACUCUGUGGAGAAGAAAAAUUAAAUAAGACAAAAUAUCAACUUUUGUCUCAAAAUUCUAUUGGAAUAAAAAGACUGAAUAAGUUGUUUUGGGAAAAUACUAUUACUAUCACAAAUGUUAAGUAAUGAUAAAUAGGAUCCUCCAUAAAAUUUUAAUUAAAUUGUCCUCUGAGAUUAUGUUCAUUGCUAUAUUAGCUAAUUGGAAUGGAUCCUAAAAGGUUAUUAAAAAUUUA